rnacentral:rRNA from 1 species
GAGUGGCGGACGGGUGAGUAUCGCGUAGGGAUCUAUCCAUGGGUGGGGGAUAACAUCGGGAAACUGGUGCUAAUACCGCAUGAUACCUGAGGGUCAAAGGCGCAAGUCACCUGUGGAGGAGCCUGCGUUCGAUUAGCUUGUUGGUGGGGUAAAGGCCUACCAAGGCGAUGAUCGAUAGCUGGUCUGAGAGGAUGAUCAGCCACACUGGGACUGAGACACGGCCCAGACUCCUACGGGAGGCAGCAGUGGGGAAUAUUGGACAAUGGGCGAAAGCCUGAUCCAGCAAUGCCGCGUGUGUGAAGAAGGUCUUCGGAUUGUAAAGCACUUUCGACGGGGACGAUGAUGACGGUACCCGUAGAAGAAGCCCCGGCUAACUUCGUGCCAGCAGCCGCGGUAAUACGAAGGGGGCUAGCGUUGCUCGGAAUGACUGGGCGUAAAGGGCGCGUAGGCGGUUUACACAGUCAGAUGCGAAAUUCCAGGGCUUAACCUUGGGGCUGCAUUUGAUACGUGUAGACUAGAGUGUGAGAGAGGGUUGUGGAAUUCCCAGUGUAGAGGUGAAAUUCGUAGAUAUUGGGAAGAACACCGGUGGCGAAGGCGGCAACCUGGCUCAUUACUGAC